rnacentral:tRNA from 1 species
GGAGAUGUAUCGAAGUGGUCAUAACGAGAACGACUCGAAAUCGUUUGGGCGGUAACACGCUCCGUGGGUUCGAAUCCCACCAUCUCCGCCA